rnacentral:rRNA from 1 species
GACGAACGCUGGCGGCGUGCUUAACACAUGCAAGUCGAACGGAAAGGCCCUGCUUUUGUGGGGUGCUCGAGUGGCGAACGGGUGAGUAACACGUGAGUAACCUGCCCUUGACUUUGUGAUAACUUCAGGAAACUGGGGCUAAUACCGGAUAGGAGCUCCUGCUGCAUGGUGGGGGUUGGAAAGUUUCGGCGGUUGGGGAUGGACUCGCGGCUUAUCAGCUUGUUGGUGGGGUAGUGGCUUACCAAGGCUUUGACGGGUAGCCGGCCUGAGAGGGUGACCGGACAAAUUGGGACUGAGAUACGGCCCAGACUCCUACGGGAGGCAGCAGUGGGGAAUAGUGCACAAUGGGCGGAAGCCUGAUGCAGCAACGCCGCGUGCGGGAUGACGGCCUUCGGGUUGUAAACCGCUUUCGCAUGUGACGAAGCGUGAGUGACGGUAAUGGGUAAAGAAGCACCGGCUAACUACGUG